CACACACACACUCGACACACUGCAGAAGAACAAGGUGAACACUGACACACAGCUGAAGAAGCUGGAGGAUCUGCUGUAUGAGGCAAACACCAAGAAUGAAGAGCUGCAGAAAACCCUGAGCGAGAGCACUGCGGCCAAAAACAGGCUCACAGCUGAAAACACUGAUCUGGCACGGCAGGUAGAGGAGAUGGAGAAGAAGAGCAUCCAGCUGAACCGAUCCAAAGCCC